AAUGAACGUUGGCGGCGUGGAUUAGGCAUGCAAGUCGAGCGAGAACCCCGCAAGGGGGGACCGCGGCGAAAGGGACAGUAAUGUGUAGAUUAUCUGCCCUCAGGUCCGGGAUAGCUGCGGGAAACUGCAGGUAAUACCGGAUAACAUCUCCGGAUCAAAGGUGUGAUUCCGCCUGAGGAUGAGUCUGCAUCCUAUUAGCUAGUUGGUGGGGUAAUGGCCUACCAAGGCAUUGAUGGGUAGCAGGUGUGAGAGCACGACCUGCGUCAUUGGGACUGAGACACUGCCCAGACACCUACGGGUGGCUGCAGUCGAGAAUCUUCGGCAAUGGGCGCAAGCCUGACCGAGCGACGCCGCGUGUGGGAUGAAGGCCUUCGGGUUGUAAACCACUGUCAGAGGGGAUGAAAUGCAGGUGGGUUCUCCCAUCUGUUUGACAUAGCCUCAGGGGAAGGACGGGCUAAGUUCGUG
rnacentral:rRNA from 1 species